UACAGAGGGGGCAAGCGUUAUUCGGAAUUAUUGGGCGUAAAGGGCGCGUAGGCGGCUUGGCAAGUGGAAGGUGAAAUCCCUCGGCUUAACCUGGGAACUGCGUCGGAUACUGGAUGGCUUGAAUUCGGGAGAGGGAUGCAGAAUUCCAGGUGUAGCGGUGAAAUGCGUAGAUAUCUGGAGGAAUACCGGUGGCGAAGGCGGCAUCCUGGACCGACAUUGACGCUGAGGAGCGAAAGCUAGGGGAGCAAACGGG
rnacentral:rRNA from 1 species